AUUGAACGCUGGCGGCAGGCCUAACACAUGCAAGUCGAACGGCAGCACAGAAGAGCUUGCUCUUUGGGUGGCGAGUGGCGGACGGGUGAGUAAUGUCUGGGAAACUGCCCGAUGGAGGGGGAUAACUACUGGAAACGGUAGCUAAUACCGCAUAACGUCGCGAGACCAAAGUGGGGGACCUUCGGGCCUCACACCAUCGGAUGUGCCCAGAGGGGAUUAGCUAGUAGGUGGGGUAAGGGCUCACCUAGGCGACGAUCCAUAGCUGGUCGGAGAGGAUGACCAGCCACAGUGGAACUGAGACACGGUCCAGACUCCUACGGGAGGCAGCAGUGGGGAAUAUUACACAAUGGGCGCAAGCCUGAUGCAGCCAUGCCGCGUGUAGGAAGAAGGCCUUCGGGUUGUAAAGUACUUUCAGCGGGGAGGAAGGCGGUGAGGUUAAUAACCUCGCCGAUUGACGUUACCCGCAGAAGAAGCACCGGCUAACUCCGUGCCAGCCGCCGCCGUAA
rnacentral:rRNA from 1 species